GAAGUCGCAAGUCUUUUUUUUUUCUUUCUCCCCCUCUCCAGGGACAAAACAGAUCGCGGUCGUCGCUAUUGUGCAGGAUUCCCUCCGAACCAUAAAAUGGGAUGCUUAGCUGGGCUAUGCCUUAAUGCUUCCCGUUGGAUGAAAAGACUCAGUUCUGGAAACCCAGAGAGGCUGGUGAUGCUCACAGCACCAGAAGUAUAAACUGGAUCGGUUCGGCACCGGUUUGAAAUGUCAUUUCAAGGAUGGGUAAACUUGGCCGACGGAGUUUUACAAAGGCAUCGGAGACACGCAGGGAUUCCCCAGGUGGGCAUCGCCGGAGGACCGAACGAAAAGGGUCCAGCAGGCGGCCUCCGUUUCCCGAGAAGUCGCUGAGAGGUCUCUUGCGCCAGGCGACCGUCCUUCG